UGGGCGGAGGGGGCGUGCCUAAUAAUGCAAGUCGAGCGGACAGACAGGAGUGCUUGCACUCCUUGAAGUCAGCGGCGGACGGGUGAGUAACACGUGGGUAACCUACCUAUAAGACUGGGAUAACUUCGGGAAACCGGAGCUAAUACCGGAUAAUAUGUUUCACCUCAUGGUGAAACAGUGAAAGACGGUUUCGGCUGUCACUUAUAGAUGGACCCGCGGCGCAUUAGCUAGUUGGUGAGGUAACGGCUCACCAAGGCGACGAUGCGUAGCCGACCUGAGAGGGUGAUCGGCCACACUGGGACUGAGACACGGCCCAGACUCCUACGGGAGGCAGCAGUAGGGAAUCUUCCGCAAUGGACGAAAGUCUGACGGAGCAACGCCGCGUGAGUGAAGAAGGUUUUCGGAUCGUAAAACUCUGUUGUAAGGGAAGAACAAGUACGUUAGUAACUGAACGUACCUUGACGGUACCUUACCAGAAAGCCACGGCUAACUACGUGCCAGCAGCCGCGGUAAUACGUAGGUGGCAAGCGUUAUCCGGAAUUAUUGGGCGUAAAGCGCGCGUAGGCGGUCUCUUAAGUCUGAUGUGAAAGCCCCCGGCUCA
rnacentral:rRNA from 1 species